rnacentral:lncRNA from 1 species
ACUAUACACAUGUCCAUUGUUAUUAUUCCGCGUUAUAUAUUAUAUUAGUAAGUUAUUACAGUCCACUUAUUAUCAAUCCUUGAGGUAUCUGAAAGAGGCCUAAAAUCCUCACAUGGUCCUUCGAACAACUUUGAACCAUAUUUAUAAAGCUUCUCAGUAAAAGUAUGGAGGAAGAGAAUAUCCAUUCAACUCCCUAUCAUGAAGAAAAUAAUCAAUAAUCUGGAAUUACCGGAAGAGGAGAUUGUGAUCCUUAUAGCACUCGAAUCCCUUCACUCAUCGUGGAAAGAGCAUAUUUUGGAAAAUGAUCCACAAGAAGAAGAAGAGAUAAUAGAGGCCAAAAUCAAAGCAGAAAUUGCCCUGGCCAUGACUAAGAUAGCUCAGCGAUGGCGUACAGACAAAAUCUUCCCUCAAGAUUUACAAAGGGGGAGACAAUUUAUUUGUCAGUUACAACGUACUCUGAAGAAACUCCUCUUAAAGAAUAAUGAAGACGUUAGCGCUGAAGUCGAAGCUAGAUUGACUAAGAAGCUAAUCUCUAAAUGGGAGUCUUCUCUUUCAAGAAAAUUAGAAACUUCGUUCCUGGAAGCAAACAAUUCAGUGGUAUAAACCAUUAGAAGAUCCGCUAUCUCAAAAUUAUUUUGAAUUCAAUGAAGAAAUUGACUCAUUAAUUUCCAAAAUUGAGUUUGAAAUUUCUAAAAGGCCAGGAAUCGAAAACAAAUUGCAACAAAAAUCAAUAGAAGAAAGCGCAAAUUCUACUGUAACAUAUAUCCCUCAUAAAAAGAGCAUUGUGCAGUUCAAUGUACGAAGCUUAAUCAAUAAUUUCAAAAGAGAUCCUGAAGACGAAAAUGUCCUUCUACAAUUCUCCAAUUGGAAAACUGCCUGGAAGAACAAAUAAGCCAAUCUAUUACAUCUACGAUGAAUCCUAAAAGCA